rnacentral:misc_RNA from 1 species
GAUGAAGAACGCAGCGAAAUGCGAUAAGUAAUGUGAAUUGCAGAAUUCAGUGAAUCAUCGAAUCUUUGAACGCACCUUGCGCCCUUUGGCUAUUCUGAAGGGCAUGCCUGUUUGAGUAUCAUGAACACCUCAACUCUCAUGGUUCGCCAUGAUGAGCUUGGACUUUGGGGGUCUUGCUGGCCUACGGUCGGCUCCUCUCAAAUGAAUCAGCUUGCCAGUGUUUGGUAGAGUCGCAGGUGUGAUAACUAUCUACGCUUGUGGUUUUCUGCCAGAUAACCUUCAGUGAUGGAGGUUCGCUGGAGCUUAUAAAUGUCUCCCCCCAGUGAGGACAGCUUUUUGAACGUUUGAUCUCAAAUCAGGUAGGACUACCCGCUGAACUUAAGCAUAUCAAUAAGCGGAGGA